rnacentral:misc_RNA from 1 species
UGGUUCUGGCAUCGAUGAAGAACGCAGCGAAAUGCGAUAAGUAAUGUGAAUUGCAGAAUUCAGUGAAUCAUCGAAUCUUUGAACGCAUAUUGCGCCCCUUGGCAUUCCGAGGGGCAUGCCUGUUCGAGCGUCAUUACACCCCUCAAACCCCGCGGUUUGAUGUUGGGCACUGCCGGGGCGGCAUGCCUCAAAAUCAGCGACGGUUCCGGCCGACCUCCAGCGUGCAAGUAUCGCUGCGGGCGAAGGUUCGGGGCCCGUCUGUGCAAAGAAUUAUCUAAACGUUGACCUCGGAUCAGGUAGGAAUACCCGCUGA